UACGUAGGGUGCAAGCGUUGCCCGGAUUUACUGGGCGUAAAGCGUGCGCAGGCGGCUUUGCAAGACAGAUGUGAAAUCCCCGGGCUCAACCUGGGAACUGCAUUUGUGACUGCAUGGCUGGAGUGCGGCAGAGGGGGGAUGGAAUUCCGCGUGUAGCAGUGAAAUGCGUAGAUAUGCGGAGGAACACCGAUGGCGAAGGCAAUCCCCUGGGCCUGCACUGACGCUCAUGCACGAAAGCGUGGGGAGCAAACAGG
rnacentral:rRNA from 1 species